rnacentral:snoRNA from 1 species
AUUCCAUGAUGGGGACAUUCUAGGAUGUAGUCUUGAAAGCGCUCCCAUGCUUCUGGAACAGAUUCAUCAUUUUGUUGCUGAAAACUUGUUUAAUGCAUUUCUUAAUUU